GGAUAAUGCGGUGACAGCCACUGUCCACACUGGCACUUGAGGAAAUCUGAAAGGAGUGCGAAGACAGGCCUACCGAAUAGGAGCGCACGCUCAGGUAGUUUACCUGUUCGCGUGCGUAUAGCUCCCUGCAUGUAUCCAGAGGCACAGCGGAUAGGUAGCCUACCUCUACUGUUAAUAUUUACGGAAUUACAUAUUUGAUACCGGAGUACGGAGGGCAACAAGAAAUCCACGGUUGAUUGGAGUCAGGUGUGCCACAGUCAAGUGGUGGCAGCUGAGUGGCGUUCAAGGAUAGCAGAUGGGCUACAUUUAAGGGCCCAGUUUUGUAGACCCAGG
ensembl:lncRNA